rnacentral:miRNA from 1 species
GGAGGAACCUUGGACGAUAAA